rnacentral:rRNA from 1 species
CGACCGGCGCACGGGUGCGUAACGCGUAUGUAACCUACCUAUAACAGGGGCAUAACACUGAGAAAUUGGUACUAAUUCCCCAUAAUAUUCGGAGAGGCAUCUCUCCGGGUUGAAAACUCCGGUGGUUAUAGAUGGACAUGCGUUGUAUUAGCUAGUUGGUGAGGUAACGGCUCACCAAGGCAACGAUACAUAGGGGGACUGAGAGGUUAACCCCCCCACACUGGUACUGAGACACGGACCAGACUCCUACGGGAGGCAGCAUG